UACGUAGGGGGCAAGCGUUGUCCGGAUUUAUUGGGCGUAAAGAGCGUGUAGGCGGUUCGGUAGGUCCGUUGUGAAAACUCGAGGCUCAACCUCGAGACGCCGAUGGAAACCCUCGAGCUAGAGUCCGGAAGAGGAGAAUGGAAUUCCUGGUGUAGCGGUGAAAUGCGCAGAUAUCAGGAAGAACACCCGUGGCUAAGGCGGCUCUCUAGUACGGUACUGACGCUGAGACGCGAAAGCGUGGGGAGCGAACAGG
rnacentral:rRNA from 1 species